rnacentral:rRNA from 1 species
UACGGAGGGUGCGAGCGUUGUCCGGAAUCAUUGGGCGUAAAGGGCGCGUAGGUGGCGGGACAAGCGUGCGGUGAAAGCUCGGGGCUCAACCCCGAGUCGGCCGUGCGAACUGUUUUGCUUGAGCACUGUAGAGGCAGGCGGAAUUCCGGGUGUAGCGGUGGAAUGCGUAGAUAUCGGGAGGAACACCAGUGGCGAAGGCGAAUCACCUGGGGUUGUUCUGACGCUGAGGAGCGAAAGCUAGGGGAGCAAACGGG